GGUCAAGUUAUUAAGGGUGCAGGGCGGAUGCCUUGGCACCGGGAGCCGAUGAAGGACGUGAUAAGCUGCGAUAAGCUAUGGGGAGUUGCACGUAAACUUUGAUCCAUAGAUUUCCGAAUGAGGAAACUCACCAUGAGUAAUGUCAUGGUAUCUUCGAGUAAAUACAUAGCUCGUUGAGGGGAACUCGGGGAACUGAAACAUCUAAGUACCCGAAGGAAGAGAAAGAAAUUCGAUUCCGCUAGUAGCGGCGAGCGAACGCGGAACAGCCCAAACCUAAGAAGUUCGCUUCUUAGGGGUUGCGGACAUAUCAUCAGGAAGAGGUUAUUACAGACGAAGAGUUUUGGAAAGCUCCGCCAUAGAAGGUAACAGCCCUGUAGUCGAAGUGAGAAGACUUCCGAUAUGAUCCAGAGUACCACGGGACACGUGAAACCCUGUGGGAAGCAGGAGGGACCACCCUCCAAGGCUAAAUACUACCCGG
rnacentral:rRNA from 1 species